AUUGAACGCUGGCGGCAGGCCUAACACAUGCAAGUCGAACGGUAACAGGAAGCAGCUUGCUGCUUUGCUGACGAGUGGCGGACGGGUGAGUAAUGUCUGGGAAACUGCCUGAUGGAGGGGGAUAACUACUGGAAACGGUAGCUAAUACCGCAUAACGUCGCAAGACCAAAGAGGGGGACCUUCGGGCCUCUUGCCAUCGGAUGUGCCCAGAUGGGAUUAGCUAGUAGGUGGGGUAAAGGCUCACCUAGGCGACGAUCCCUAGCUGGUCUGAGAGGAUGACCAGCCACACUGGAACUGAGACACGGUCCAGACUCCUACGGGAGGCAGCAGUGGGGAAUAUUGCACAAUGGGCGCAAGCCUGAUGCAGCCAUGCCGCGUGUAUGAAGAAGGCCUUCGGGUUGUAAAGUACUUUCGUCGAGUGCGCGAUCAUGACAGGACUCGAGGAAGAAGCCCCGGCUAACUCCGUGCCAGCCGCCGCCGUAACAC
rnacentral:rRNA from 1 species